rnacentral:rRNA from 1 species
AUUGAACGCUGGCGGCAUGCCUUACACAUGCAAGUCGAACGGCAGCACGGGUGCUUGCACCUGGUGGCGAGUGGCGAACGGGUGAGUAAUACAUCGGAACAUGUCCUGUAGUGGGGGAUAGCCCGGCGAAAGCCGGAUUAAUACCGCAUACGAUCUACGGAUGAAAGCGGAGGACCUUCGGGCCUCGCGCUAUAGGGUUGGCCGAUGGCUGAUUAGCUAGUUGGUGGGGUAAAGGCCUACCAAGGCGACGAUCAGUAGCUGGUCUGAGAGGACGACCAGCCACACUGGGACUGAGACACGGCCCAGACUCCUACGUGAGGCAGCAGUGGGGAAUUUUGGACAAUGGGCGAAAGCCUGAUCCAGCAAUGCCGCGUGUGUGAAGAAGGCCUUCGGGUUGUAAAGCACUUUUGUCCGGAAAGAAAUCCUUGGCCCUAAUACGGUCGGGGGAUGACGGUACCGGAAGAAUAAGCACCGGCUAACUACGUG